UACGUAGGGUGCAAGCGUUGUUCGAAAUGACUGGGCGUAAAGCGCGCGUAGGCGGAUUCGUAAGUCGAAUGUGAAAGCCCUGGGCUUAACCUAGGAAUUGCAUUCGAAACUGUGGAUCUUGAAUAUUUGAGAGGUUGGUGGAAUUCCAGGUGUAGGAGUGAAAUCCGUAGAUAUCUGGAGGAACAUCGGAGGCGAAGGCGGCCAACUGGCGAAAUAUUGACGCUGAAGUGCGAAAGCGCGGGGAGCAAACAGGAUUAGAUACCCUGGUAGUCCGCGCCGUAAACUAUGGAUACUAGGUGUUCGGAGUGUUAACCCUCUGAGUACCACAGCUAACGCGUUAAGUAUCCCGCCUGGGGAGUACGGUCGCAAGGCUAAA
rnacentral:rRNA from 1 species